rnacentral:rRNA from 1 species
GGCGUGCUUAACACAUGCAAGUCGAACGGUGAACACGGAGCUUGCUCUGUGGGAUCAGUGGCGAACGGGUGAGUAACACGUGAGCAACCUGCCCCUGACUCUGGGAUAAGCGCUGGAAACGGCGUCUAAUACUGGAUAUGUGACGCGACCGCAUGGUCUGUGUCUGGAAAGAAUUUCGGUUGGGGAUGGGCUCGCGGCCUAUCAGCUUGUUGGUGAGGUAAUGGCUCACCAAGGCGUCGACGGGUAGCCGGCCUGAGAGGGUGACCGGCCACACUGGGACUGAGACACGGCCCAGACUCCUACGGGAGGCAGCAGUGGGGAAUAUUGCACAAUGGGCGCAAGCCUGAUGCAGCAACGCCGCGUGAGGGACGACGGCCUUCGGGUUGUAAACCUCUUUUAGCAGGGAAGAAGCGAAAGUGACGGUACCUGCAGAAAAAGCGCCGGCUAACUACGUGCCAGCAGCCGCGGUAAUACGUAGGGCGCAAGCGUUAUCCGGAAUUAUUGGGCGUAAAGAGCUCGUAGGCGGUUUGUCGCGUCUGCUGUGAAAUCCCGAGGCUCAACCUCGGGCCUGCAGUGGGUACGGGCAGACUAGAGUACGGUAGGGGAGAUUGGAAUUCCUGGUGUAGCGGUGGAAUGCGCAGAUAUCAGGAGGAACACCGAUGGCGAAGGCAGAUCUCUGGGCCGUAACUGACGCUGAGGAGCGAAAGGGUGGGGAGCAAACAGGCUUAGAUACCCUGGUAGUCCACCCCGUAAACGUUGGGAACUAGUUGUGGGGUCCAUUCCACGGAUUCCGUGACGCAGCUAACGCAUUAAGUUCCCCGCCUGGGGAGUACGGCCGCAAGGCUAAAACUCAAAGGAAUUGACGGGGACCCGCACAAGCGGCGGAGCAUGCGGAUUAAUUCGAUGCAACGCGAAGAACCUUACCAAGGCUUGACAUAUACGAGAACGGGCCAGAAAUGGUCAACUCUUUGGACACUCGUAAACAGGUGGUGCAUGGUUGUCGUCAGCUCGUGUCGUGAGAUGUUGGGUUAAGUCCCGCAACGAGCGCAACCCUCGUUCUAUGUUGCCAGCACGUAAUGGUGGGAACUCAUGGGAUACUGCCGGGGUCAACUCGGAGGAAGGUGGGGAUGACGUCAAAUCAUCAUGCCCCUUAUGUCUUGGGCUUCACGCAUGCUACAAUGGCCGGUACAAAGGGCUGCAAUACCGCGAGGUGGAGCGAAUCCCAAAAAGCCGGUCCCAGUUCGGAUUGAGGUCUGCAACUCGACCUCAUGAAGUCGGAGUCGCUAGUAAUCGUAGAUCAGCAACGCUGCGGUGAAUACGUU